UUGAAUGUUACGAAUAGUAGUCAAUGGC
rnacentral:sRNA from 1 species